AGGUUAUGAUGUGGACACUUGAGAAGCAGCUCAUUGAAGUGUCCCCAUGCUUUGAAGAAAAGGUCUCCAUCUCUCUGUUGAAAAGAUUGAAUAUCCCUUCUAAGCUG